rnacentral:rRNA from 1 species
AGGGCACCACCAGGAGUGGAGCCUGCGGCUUAAUUUGACUCAACACGGGAAAACUCACCCGGCCCGGACACCGUAAGGAUUGACAGAUUGAUAGCUUUUUCAUGAUUCGGUGGAUGGUGGUGCAUGGCCGUUCUUAGUUCGUGGAUCGAUUUGUCUGGUUUAUUCCGAUAACGAGCGAGACUCCAGCCUACUAACUAGUACGGGCAUUGCCUCUGUGCCCGGCACUUCUUAGAGGGAUUGGCUGCGUCUAGCGGCAUGAAACGGAGCAAUAACAGGUCUGUGAUGCCCUUAGAUGUCCGGGGCUGCACGCGCGCUACACUGGCAAAGGCAGCGUGCUUGUCCUUCUCCGAAAGGAGCGGGUAAACCCUUGAAAAUUUGCCGUGAUUGGGAUCGGAAAUUGCAAUUAUUUUCCGUGAACGAGGAAUUCCUAGUAAGUGCGAGUCAUCAGCUCGCGUUGAUUACGUCCCUGCCCUUUGUACACACCGCCCGUCGCUGCCUAGAACUGAGCCAUUUCGAGAA